rnacentral:sRNA from 1 species
ACUAGUGAUUGGAAGUAAAAGUCGUAACAAGGUUUCCGUAGGUGAACCUGCGGAAGGAUCAUUAUCGAAGUCGAACGCUGGGAGGGAAAGGGGAGCCCCGACUGUCGCCGGCCUUCGGGCGCGUGCGCGUCGCUCCUCGGACCCUCCGAAGCUUUCAAACCUUCUCCACACCUGUGUGCACCCGCUGUAGGUCCUUCGGGAUCCUACGUCCUCUCUCUCUCGAACUCGCAUGUCUACAGAACGUGUAUGUCGGUCUCCGACCGCAAGCCUUUGUACAACUUUCAGCAAUGGAUCUCUUGGCUCUCGCAUCGAUGAAGGACGCAGCGAAUCGCGAUAAGUAAUGUGAAUUGCAGAUUUUCCGUGAAUCAUCGAAUCUUUGAACGCACCUUGCGCUCCCCGGUAUUCCGGGGAGCAUGCCUGUUUGAGUGUCAUCGAAAUCUCGAACCGACGCCUUCGAUCCGUUCGAAGCUCGGUCUCGGAACGUGGGGGUCUGCGGGCGGCGACGUCGGCUCCCCUCAAACACAUCAGCUGUGGGCGCGAGCCCUGCGUGGCACGGCCUCCUCGACGUCGUAACGAUCGUCGCGGGCUGGAAGCGCACGGAUCGGCGGUCCCACGCUUCCCAACCUUUCUUGCGGGGACGACCGCGAGCAAUCGAAGCUUGACCUCAAAUCAGGUAGGACUACCCGCCGAACUUAAGCAUAUCAAUAAGCGGAGGAAAAGAAACUAACGAGGAUUCCCCUAGUAACUGCGAGUGAAGCGGGAAGAGCUCAAAUUUCGAAUCUGGCGGCCGUGGGUCGUCCGAGUUGUAAUCUAGAGAAGCGUCUUCCGCGCCGGACCGUGUACAAGUCUCCUGGAAGGGAGCAUCGUAGAGGGUGACAAUCCCGUCUCUGACACGGACCCCCCGGGGCUAUGUGAUGCGCUCUCGACGAGUCGAGUUGUUUGGGAAUGCAGCUCAAAUCGGGUGGUAAACUCCAUCUAAAGCUAAAUACUGGCGAGAGACCGAUAGCGAACAAGUACCGUGAGGGAAAGAUGAAAAGAACUUUGGAAAGAGAGUUAAACAGUACGUGAAAUUGCUGGAAGGGAAACGCUUGAAGUCAGUCGUGUCGGCCGGGGAUCAACCCUGCUUUUUGCUGGGCGUAUUUCUCGGUCGACGGGUCAGCAUCGAUUUCGACCGUCGUAGAAGGACGGGAGCGAACGUGGCACUCUCCGGAGUGUGUUAUAGCCUCUCGUAUGGAUGCGACGGCGGGGAUCGAGGAACUCGGCACGACCCCUCGAGGGUUCGGGGCUCAGGCCCACGUCACGUGCCCAGGAUGCUGGCAUAAUGGCUUUAAGCGACCCGUCUUGAAACACGGACCAAUC